AUGCAGCAACGCCGCGUGCGGGAAGAAGGCCCUAGGGUUGUAAACCGCUUACAGCAGGGAGAAAAUGACGGUACCUGCAGAAGAAGGUGCGGCCAACUACGUGCCAGCAGCCGCGGUGACACGUAGGCACCAAGCGUUAUCCGGAUUUAUUGGGCGUAAAGAGCUCGUAGGCGGUUCGGUAAGUCGGGUGUGAAAACUCUGGGCUCAACCCAGAGAGGCCACUCGAUACUGCUGUGACUAGAGUGCGGUAGGGGAGCGGGGAAUUCAUGGUGUAGCGGUGAAAUGCGCAGAUAUCAUGAGGAACACCAGUGGCGAAGGCGCCGCUCUGGGCCGUAACUGACGCUGAGGAGCGAAAGCAUGGGUAGCAAACAGGAUUAGAUACCCUGGUAGUCCAUGCCGUAAACGUUGGGCACUAGGUGUGGGUCUCAACCAACGAGAUCCGCGCCGUCGCUAACGCAUUAAGUGCCCCGCCUGGGGAGUACGGUCGCAAGACUA
rnacentral:rRNA from 1 species